rnacentral:rRNA from 1 species
GCGGCAGGCUUAACACAUGCAAGUCGAGGGGCAGCACGAGGUAGCAAUACUUUGGUGGCGACCGGCGCACGGGUGCGUAACGCGUAUGCAACCUACCUUUAACAGGGGCAUAACACUGAGAAAUUGGUACUAAUUCCCCAUAACAUUCGAGAAGGCAUCUUCUUGGGUUAAAAACUCCGGUGGUUAAAGAUGGGCAUGCGUUGUAUUAGCUAGUUGGUGAGGUAACGGCUCACCAAGGCAACGAUACAUAGGGGGACUGAGAGGUUAACCCCCCACACUGGUACUGAGACACGGACCAAACUCCUACGGGAGGCAGCAGUGAGGAAUAUUGGUCAAUGGACGCAAGUCUGAACCAGCCAUGCCGCGUGCAGGAAGACGGCUCUAUGAGUUGUAAACUGCUUUUGUACUAGGGUAAACGCUUCUACGUGUAGGAGCCUGAAAGUAUAGUACGAAUAAGGAUCGGCUAACUCCGUGCCAGCAGCCGCGGUAAUACGGAGGAUCCAAGCGUUAUCCGGAUUUAUUGGGUUUAAAGGGUGCGUAGGCGGUUUGAUAAGUUAGAGGUGAAAUACCGGGGCUCAACUCCGGAACUGCCUCUAAUACUGUUGAACUAGAGAGUAGUUGCGGUAGGCGGAAUGUAUGGUGUAGCGGUGAAAUGCUUAGAGAUCAUACAGAACACCGAUUGCGAAGGCAGCUUACCAAACUAUAUCUGACGUUGAGGCACGAAAGCGUGGGGAGCAAACAGGAUUAGAUACCCUGGUAGUCCACGCAGUAAACGAUGAUAACUCGUUGUCGGCGAUACACAGUCGGUGACUAAGCGAAAGCGAUAAGUUAUCCACCUGGGGAGUACGUUCGCAAGAAUGAAACUCAAGGAAUUGACGGGGGCCCGCACAAGCGGAGGAACAUGUGGUUUAAUUCGAUGAUACGCGAGGAACCUUACCCGGGCUUGAAAGUUAGUGACGAUUCUGGAAACAGGAUUUCCCUUCGGGGCACGAAACU